UAAUGAACACGUGGAGGGAGCUCUUCAUGCCCCUGUGUAUUGGACAACCCGCAGCACACUGGUGUGAGCUUUGGGUACCACUGUCGCAGAUCUUCCCAGGACUCAGAAUGGUCGGUCUGUUAGUGGAGGUGCAGCGUGCAGCUUUGCCGACUGCAUAAUUUAUAGUGCACUGUAGCAUCCUGACUUUCACUUAAGUACAGAAAUGGCUUGCUGAGAAUCGUUCAUGGAUUCAGAAACCAGGCAUUCAGAGUGGGUGCCUCCAGCCUGUCUCGUUCCUCUACUGAGGAUUGGCUGGCAGCAGAGGCUGCUGGCAUUGCACAAUUGGCUUGGAUGUGAAAUUACCCAACAGAAGCACACCUCCCACUUCCACCCUGUGACUCAGGCUUCUGCCACCAGGCUGAGCCGAGAGACUGAGGGCAUGCUACCAACUACACGAUGCUGCCCUGCCUUUAUCACAGAUGUUGCUGCUGCAGAGGGCGAGCGCUCCUGCCUCACACCCCACAGACACCAGGGAGCCUUCACAAGCCUUGGAGAUUUUCACCCGAAAUUGUGAUGUCAUCAGGAGCCAUUUUUUAAUGUGGAUGAACGCGGGACCUCAGAUGCUAGGACUGACAUGACGUGGGGGUCCUGAAGCUCGCUUUGAUGGUCUGGUCAGCUGUCCGUGCAGCGCAGUAGGAUGUCAGUCUGCCCCAGGAGGAGGGGCUUCUGUUGAUCUGUGAAUCGAUGCCGAGAAACAAACAACAUACUGAAAGUAUCCGUUCUCCUUUAUCUAGAAGAAAGUCCUGGGAAUUACAGGGUGGGGCCUCUCGGGCCUUCGGAAGCCUGGUGCUGCUGAGACCUCUCUCGGGCAUGCACUGUGGCACGUGGUGUGGAGAUGGCAUGGGACAGUGGGGUCACCAGUGUCCAUGGAAGCCAGGUCUGCUGCCAGCACAUGCUGACUCCUAGUGUUUCUCCUUGUUUCAGUUUGCAAGAUGCUGGCAUUGGAUUCAUCUUGGUCAUAGACCGAAGGCAGGACAAAUGGACCUCUGUGAAGGCAUCCGUCCUGCGGAUAGCCGUAAGUACCUCUCGGGCUCCACACACGCCUGGAGGGUGGCAGCUCCCUGCUUUUCUGUCUAGUUUGUGUGGAAGGUGGGGGAUUGAGGUGACAGUCAGGGGACCUAGUCAGGGGUAGGCUGAGCCAUGCCAGGCCCACGGGGGGCUCCUGAAUUGUGGGCAUGUUUUCUCCCGUGGUGGUCACACUCGGGGGGUCUGUUGUGAUCCUCUCAGUAACAGCUUGGAAGUUGUGAGCAGAGAAGGUUCUGAGCACGUUGGACUUCAGGCUAGAAGUUGGACACUGAAUCCAGUCAUUGUUCCUAAACAGCUCUCUCCUUUCCAUGUAGGGCUGUUUAACGUUAGUCCUGAGAUGUGUUGGUCCUUGCUACCCAGCCCGCCCCUCGUAGCACACAGAGUCCCCUCAGUUCUAGGGACCUUCAGCCGUGAAGUUGCGGGACUUGCUGGCGGCUUCAGCUUGCAGUUGCUAUUUCAGAAUAGUUAAGACUGAGACAGCAGAAAUCCUGUUUCCGCAGCCGUUCCGCCCACAAACAGACACGAUGUGGGCCGAGUCUUCCAAAACGAGUCCACCCACACUUGCUGUCCCCACCUAUCAUCCACAGCUUCAUGAAGGACCCAAAAGUUUGGUGGUUCACUAACAAGCACCAUGGCUCAGGGCUAGGAUUGUUUAGCUGCUCCCGAAGUCUCUGGGCAACUGAUCCCAUGGUGUUAUGUUCUCUGACCCUGCUCUGAGUCAGGCAUUCACAGUUGACCUUGGGUCGUCACCCACCACCACCACCACCGACCGGGCUGCUGUGCCAAGGGUUAGGUGCUAUAAGAAACCCAUUCCUCUUUAAGGAAAAUGAAAGGCUCUUGGCUACUGUGAUUUUCACAGCCUGCAGUCUGGGCGCAAACCUGUCUCUCAUAGAGCAUCAUCCUGUAACUACCUCGUGAGUUCUGCAGGAGAGCCUAGACGUGAGCAAGCUCCCAUCCUCUGCCUCCACCCUCAAGUAGCCUUCCUGUCAUCAUUGAUGUGAAAUAGUAAGACACAGCACCAUUACACAGUAACUGUCCUGGCCCCGGUGUCUGGAAGGUGCUUCCGAUGUCCCAUCAACUGUGGACAGACCUGUGUCUCCACUGUGACUACCCAGCAGCCAUCGGGGCAGCUUCUGCUCCUUCACUCACUUCUGCUCCCACCUCUUCAGAGCUGAGGCUCCUUCUCCACAGCUCCUGCUUAGCCUCUGUCUUCACAGAGUGCAACCCCAUCGGGCCAGCAUGAACAGGAUUUCUUCGCACACGUAUCACGUGUGCUCACCUGGUCUUGCGUCUGGAGUGGCAGUGCGAAUGCGCAUGUGUGUGUGUGUGCAUGCAGCCUGCAUGUGUACUUUGAAAAUUACACACUUAUUUAUUAUUAGGGGAGCCCAUGUGGUGUGCAGAGGUCAGCGGACAACUGGAGCAAGUCCGCUUUCUCCCUUCUAACACGUGGGUCCUAGGACCCUUCACCUCCUGAGCCAUCUGUAUUAUCCAGUAAGUCACUCCCAGGUUAGAAGAUGUGUUUCCAAAUACAAAGUAUUUUCCCAGGAAACAGAAAUUCUGCUUUAAGACUGAAGCAGUCCUGUGGUCCUGCCCAACAGGAGGCUUUGGUGCCUCGCAUACCCCGGUACAUGCUGGGCCCCUCUUGUCAACUGUGAAUGUAGAUGAACUUAUUAGAACAAGGUUUCUGAAAGGGUUUCUGAAGCAAGUUGGCUCAUCUUUAAAACUGUGCUUUGUGAACACAGUGGCUGUAAGGAAAGAAUUUGACUUUUAUUUUUAUACUGUCUUCUGUUUCUCUGUUAUUGUUGCCUGCUUCUUGAGUUGGAGUCUCACUCUAUAGUUGAGCCUGGUCAAGGCUCUCUAACCCUCCUGGCCCAGCCUCCCAAACGCUGGAGUUGUAGGUGCACACUACCAUGCUUAGCUUGCAUUGAUUCUUACAGUAUAAAACAGGAGGUGUUUUUCCUGUGACUGUUAGCAUUAGCCAGAGCUAGGGAGUAGCAGAAGCUACCAUUUAUUCCAGCAAAAUUGUCAUGAAUUUGCUUUGAUCUCCAGAAAUGUCCAAUGGUCUUAACACAAAUCCAGCAGGUAGG
rnacentral:lncRNA from 1 species